CCUGCUAUCACUUUACUUUUUAAAUAAAUAAAAAAGUAAUUAGUAUUUAUAUUAAUUUAAAAAAACUGAGAAGCGUGUUUAUAAAAAGAAAUAUUGCAGUGCUGCUUUAAGUAUAUUCAUCCUGUCCUCCUGAGUGGUACAUAUGUGUGUCAUUUGGUGAGCAGGUGGCUAACACUCUCUUUUACUGGUUUUGGUGAAGCUGUGAAGAUGCCUGCAGUUCUCUCACUAUUCUGGAUGCUCUGUCUGAUGCUGAGAGUGGGUCCCUCUCUCUCAUCCUGCACUCCCAGUGUGAGCAUUGUGGAUUUACACUGUAACCUACACUGGAACUGUUCUGAUAUCAACCCAAGCACAACCUUUAUCGUCCAGACCAAGUCCCCCCCGUGGGAAGAGUGGCAGAAUGUUUCUGAGUGUGUUCACAUCUCCUCCAGCAGCUGUGAUUUAUCUCAGGCCUUCCAAGACAUUGAUGGCUAUAAGCUUGUCAGACUGUUAUUAAACCAUGAACAUGGAGCAAUUGACUGGCUAGAGCACUGCAAAUUCCUCUCAAACCCUGAUGCGAGGUUCAGCGCUCCCUCUGUCUCAGUUUCUUUGGUCGGGCCCAAGCUGUUGGUGGAUGUGGCGUUACCCUGUGCUCCUUCUGUGCUCUGUCUAAACAUGGGGGAGCCAAGCUGCUGUCCGGUCAACACAUUUCUUAUACUGUACACCACUGUGACUGUUUAUAACAAACACAAUACGGCUGAAACACAGAAUAAAAUGUUUAAGAGUGAUCUGUCGAGAGUGGAGUUCGGUAUGUUGACGGCGGGUGAGGAAUACUGCGCUAAGGCCCAGAUCACCUCCUCCCCUUUCUCUGAGCCGCAGUGUGUUCACGUCCCAAAAAAGGGAAGUCUGAAUAUAGCAGCGCUGUGUGGAGUGAUCAUUGCUUUUCUCCUCAUUGGCGUGUGUUUGGCAAGAAGGUGUGCUUCAUCUGAAACCAGGCUCCCUAAAUCUCUGAUGUCCCUUCAGAAUGUGGAUCAGGACUCUUCUUCCUUUGUGGCUGAAUCUGGGCAAGCAGCUCUAGAAGAAGAUGAAGAUAAUCAUUUGGUUCUUCUUUCCAUCGUACCCCUGCAUAACAACACAUAUGCUCUGCCUGAGCCUGAGACCCAGUCAGCCUGUUUGUCCUCACAAACAUAUGAAGAUAGUUAUUAUGCUUCAUCCAUUCUACAGCACCAGGCUUUUGAUGAGCAACAUGAAGGAGAUACAGGAUCUCAAUUGGAAACGGAUGGAGAUCCAUCUACAGAUCUUUGUCUAGGUGAUCUUUAUGCAUCAGAUCCAAUUGUAAGAACAGGUCCUGCAUGUUUACUUGAAGACUGUUUUACUCUGGGGGAUCUCAGUAUUCCUUUAAGCUCUGUGAAAGUAGCUGGGGAUCAGAGAGAAGAGAUGGAGCGAGAACUGCAUGAAGUACUUGAAAAGUGGAACCUGAACGUGGUUAAAGAGUCUCAGUUAGUCGCUGAUGGAGAUCAUGGAGAAUAAAGGAAUAAGCUUUAAUUAAGACUGAACGAAUUUCCUUCACAAUUGUGUAUAUGUUGUCCUUUCUAGAUUGUUCUAUAACACAACCAAUGAGAUAUUAAUCUUAAGUGUUCACACAACGUUUGCUUUUCCUCGUUGGGUUUCUCAUGAAGAUGAUUUGUCCAUUUACUGAAGGCAAUUGGUUCCAGCUUUAGACCAGUAAAUAAGGCUGUUUUUUUCUUUUUUACCUUACCUUUAACCUUACUUUCUUCACAAAUUGAAAAGUCAGUUACACAAUACCCAUUCAUAUAAACUCAUCUUAUCCCUGGUAAUGCCAGAUACCCCAAAACAGCCAACACCUCUUUGCAAAAUGCAACUGAUUUAGCAUCAAUGUGUAGUAGCUAUUACAAUUGGAGAAUAGCACAGUGACCCAGCACUGAUACCUCAACCAACAGAUGCCUGUGCUGACCAGUAUUUUAAUCUGAGAAGAAUUACCCAAACAGCAUGGCUAGUAGCAUGAUCGUGACCACUCCGUGUCCUGGAGAGCGAUUCUCCUACAGAUUUUUCCUUCAAACCUCCACUUAAUACAUAUUAACACGCUUACCUCAGGGUAAAGGCCUUGGCAUACUUCAUGAGGAGACGACGUUCACAUGGCUUUAACGAACAAUAUGACGUAAUUACUGAGAAAGCUAACAGCCGCAGACGGCGCACAGGGGCUUCGUUCGACAUGUCGAGCACAUGGAAGCUGUGGGAACUCCACGGCAGAGGACACUGCCUGACAACGUCUGUGAUUGGUCGCUAAAAAAGAGAGUGUACGAGACAGGCAAUGCGAAGCCGCAGAAAGUAUGCCAGCUCGAUAGCUUGCAAAAGCCCGCUCGAUUUCAUACAAUGCUCCCGAACUUUGUUUCGUUGGAAGUAUGCGGAGGCCUUAAGUGGUCUAAUGUGGUCAAUGCUGGUAUUUUACUUAAAAGGGACAUACUAUACUUCUUUUUACACAAGUUAGAUUAAACAUAUGGGCUAUGCAAAACAUGUUUGUGACGUUCUUUGCACAAAAUCGCUUUAUUCCUGCCAGUUUCAGUCCCUUUCAGAAUGAGCUGUUUCAGAGCUCUGUCACUUUUAUGCAAAUAAGCUGUUGCUGGCCACACCCAAUGUUUAUGCUGAGUGUUUACCACCUUUGUGUUUUGCCAUAAAGCACAAGCUAACACCAACAAGCUAGUUCAUGCUUAACUGUGAUAGAAACACAAAACACAAUAUUUGAAAACAACAUUAUUUGAAAUUACUUGCAUCUCCCUCAUCUGCUGACCUGCCACGGACAGUAGGUACAGAUCCCUCCUUCAGACGAGGAAUUGUGUACGACGGAGCACAGGUUGUCCUUUCUUAGACCACUUUUGGUAAGUAACCGCUACUGCAACAUAUCACAAGAUAUGCCUGAUGUUUUAGAGAUGUUCUGAAACAGUUACUUGCUCUGGUGACGGUCAAAAAAAAAAAGCCAUAUGCCCGUUUAUUCUGAUUUCCUGACAGCUUUGAGAACCAACUGUUUACUUAAUGCUUGCCUAAAAUUUAGAUCCAAUUGACUGACAUAUGUCACUGUAAAUGGUGAAGUAAGAAAAAAAUGCUAAUGUGCUAAUGUUAUGGCUAAUUGUUUUUAGGUCACGAUGCUAAGUCUUGUGAUAUGAAUACAGGUGUGUGUAAAAAAAAAACAAAAAAAAAAAAACUGUUUAACCAGUCAGCCUUAUGCUGAACAUAUUUCUUAAAAUAUACAUAGAAAUGUAUUGUCUUGUUUCUUACAUAUCAAAACUUUUUUACAAAAUAACUGACUAUGAUUUAGCCUUCCAUCAUGUAUUAUUGUGUUGUUUGUUACGCAUUUGUAAAAAACAUUUGAUUCAUGUAGCUUUCCCUCGUGUACUUUGUUGAGUGUAUGUCAUCAGGUCAUGACCUAGAACAUAUGGAAUAAUUUUGUUCACCAUGUGCCAUAAUGCAUGUCACCUCAGUAUGUUUUAUGUAUGAAUAAAUCAAAUAAAUGGUGGGAUGGAAAGGCCCUU
ensembl:lncRNA